rnacentral:rRNA from 1 species
UACAGAGGUCCCAAGCGUUGUUCGGAUUUACUGGGCGUAAAGGGUGCGUAGGCGGCCUUGAAAGUCCGGUGUGAAAGCUCAGAGCUUAACUCUGAAAUUGCAUUGGAAACUUCAGGGCUAGAGGAGUGGAGGGGGAGCUGGAAUUCUCGGUGUAGCAGUGAAAUGCGUAGAUAUCGAGAGGAACACCAGUGGCGAAGGCGAGCUCCUAGACAUUUCCUGACGCUGAGGCACGAAAGCCAAGGGAGCAAACGGGAUUAGAUACCCCGGUAGUCUUGGCUGUAAACGGUGCGCAUUUGCUGUGGGCGGGUUCGACCCCGUCAGUGGCGAAGCUAACGCGAUAAAUGCGCCGCCUGGGGAGUACGGUCGCAAGAUUA